rnacentral:lncRNA from 1 species
ACACACGCCGAGCAAAUCGAGACCGUUGCGCUCAAGAACUUGCGAUGAUGAGAGCGCUAGGACUUCUCGCAACUGGGUUAGGGCACUUGGAUCGGCAGCAUCAGUCGAAGCGGCCGAAGGGCCGGACUCUGCAGUCGUGCUGGAGAGGAGGGCUUUGAAUUCAACCUCCCAUGAAGCCUGCACAAAUAAACAAGGUUAAGUUUAAAGGAAGUCAUGACAAGAAUAGCAAGAAGGUGUCGUGUUUUAACCUGCCGAGAGGAGACCUCGGCCAUGUCCCCAGGAUCGUUGCUCGAACCU